rnacentral:rRNA from 1 species
AUGAACGCUGGCGGCGUGCCUAAUACAUGCAAGUCGCGCGAACGGACGAGAAGCUUGCUUUUCUGAUGUUAGCGGCGGACGGGUGAGUAACACGUGGAUAACCUACCUAUAAGACUGGGAUAACUUCGGGAAACCGGAGCUAAUACCGGAUAAUAUUUUGAACCGCAUGGUUCAAAAGUGAAAGACGGUCUUGCUGUCACUUAUAGAUGGAUCCGCGCUGCAUUAGCUAGUUGGUAAGGUAACGGCUUACCAAGGCAACGAUGCAUAGCCGACCUGAGAGGGUGAUCGGCCACACUGGAACUGAGACACGGUCCAGACUCCUACGGGAGGCAGCAGUAGGGAAUCUUCCGCAAUGGGCGAAAGCCUGACGGAGCAACGCCGCGUGAGUGAUGAAGGUCUUCGGAUCGUAAAACUCUGUUAUUAGGGAAGAACAUAUGUGUAAGUAACUGUGCAUAUCUUGACGGUACCUAAUCAGAAAGCCACGGCUAACUACGUG